GCCCCGUUAGCUCAGUCGGUAGAGCAUGGGACUCUUAAUCAGAGGGCCGUGGGUUCGAGCCUCACAUAGGGCG
rnacentral:tRNA from 1 species